AUGAAGGAAGGUCAAAAUAAGGUAAACAAUAAACAUGAAAAAGAGGAUAUUAAGGAUCUUACAGGGAAGACGGGGAAGAAUGGCGAAGCAAAAGCAAAAGCUGAAGAGCACAAGUGGUCUGGAAAAUGCACUGAUGAUUUUGAGGAUCAACCAACAGGGAACCAAAUAAGGUUUAGGCCGGAGAAGUGGAGCGCCGUUGACCGCAGUAGAAGCUCUGGUUUAGGGUUUUUUCGUGAAGAAAAUCUGACUGAGAAUAGAAAAGUGAUACGAAUUGUGUUUUGA